UUCAGACAUUUUCCUUCCUGUUCUCUGGAGAUCUUGCAGAAAAGAGCCUGCAGUGUUUCCCUUGCUCAGCCAUGCUCCUGGUGCUCAUCCCACUGCUGGGGAUACAUUUUGUCCUGAGAACUGCCAGAGCCCAGUCAGUGACCCAGCCUGACAUCCACAUCACUGUUUCUGAAGGAACCUCACUGGAGUUGAGAUGUAACUAUUCCUAUGGGGCAACACCUUCUCUCUUCUGGAUGGAAAGAACUGUUGAAGAAGCUUUUAUACUUCUUGUUUGCUUGAAGCCUUGGAGGGUAGCAAGUAGUCUGGAGAAAAAGGAGAAGGAGGAUGAAUCUUUCCAGCUGCUACUUGGCUCACGCUGUAAGGUAUUAGAAGGAAAAAGCUUUGAUAUGGAACCACUGGAACAACUUAUAAAGACAUCAAGACCCAAUGGACUGUUAAAACAGAUCAUCUAG